rnacentral:snRNA from 1 species
GUUGUCGUGGCAGCACACAUACUAAAAUUGGAAUGAUACAGAGAAGAUUAGCAUGCCCCCUGUGCAAGGAUGACACGCAAAUUCAUGAAGCAUUCCAAUUUUUU